rnacentral:rRNA from 1 species
CAGUCGCCGCGGUAAUACGAAGGGUGCAAGCGUUACUCGGAAUUACUGGGCGUAAAGCGUGCGUAGGUGGUUGUUUAAGUCUGCUGUGAAAGCCCUGGGCUCAACCUGGGAAUUGCAGUGGAUACUGGGCGACUAGAGUAAGGUAGAGGAUAGUGGAAUUUCCGGUGUAGCAGUGAAAUGCGUAGAGAUCGGAAGGAACAUCUGUGGCGAAGGCGACUAUCUGGGCCAUUACUGACACUGAGGCACGAAAGCGUGGGGAGCAAACAGGAUUAGAUACCCGCGUAGUCCCUGUCUCUUAUAC